rnacentral:rRNA from 1 species
CCUACGGGCAGCAGCAGUGGGGAAUAUUGCGCAAUGGGGGCAACCCUGACGCAGCAACGCCGCGUGAUUGAAGAAGGCCUUCGGGUUGUAAAGAUCUUUAAUCGGGGACGAAUUUUGACGGUACCCGCAGAAUAAGCUCCGGCUAACUACGUGCCAGCGGCCGCGGUAAUACGUAGGGAGCAAGCGUUAUCCGGAUUUACUGGCGGUAAAGGGCGUGUAGGCGGGCAUGCAAGCCAGAAGUGAAAUCUGGUGGCUUAACCCCCACACUGCUUUUGGAACUGCGUGUCUUGAGUGAGGGAGAGGCAGGCGGAAUUCCCAGUGUAGCGGUGAAAUGCGUAGAUAUUGGGAGGAACACCAGUGGCGAAGGCGGCUCACUGGACUGUAACUGACGUUGAGGCUCGAAAGCGUGGGGAGCAAACAGGAUUAGAUACCCCUGUAGUC